rnacentral:rRNA from 1 species
GUUGAACGCUGACAGAAUGCUUAACACAUGCAAGUCAACCUGCAUUUGGGUCUUUGACUUAGGGUUGGGUGGCGGACGGGUGAGUAACGCGUAAAGAACUUGCCUCACAGCUAGGGACAACAUUUGGAAACGAAUGCUAUUACCUAAUAUUAUGAUAAUAGGGCAUACUAUAAUUAUGAAAGCUAUAAGCGCUGUGGGAGAGCUUUGCGUCAAACUAGCUAGUUGGAGAGGUAACGGCGCACCAAGGCGAUGAUGGGUAGCCGGCCUGGGAGGGUGACCGGCCACAAGGGGACUGGGACACGACCAUUACUCAUACGGGGAGCAGCGGUGGAAAAUAGUGGAAGAAAGACCGAGUGUCUGAAGCAGCCAUUCUGUGUGUACGAUGAAGUUUUUCGGGAUGAAAAGUGAUUUGAGAAUAGACGAAGCAAAUGACGGUACCUGAAGAAGAAGUAACGGCUAAAUACGUG